rnacentral:tRNA from 1 species
GCCUGGGUGGCUGAAUUGGUUAAGCUUUGGACUCUUGAUCUCAGCUCAGGUCUUGAUCUCAGGGUUGUGAGUUCAAGCCCCACCUUGGGCU